GGCAGACUUUCGGGCUGCAGGGGGCCUGUGCGCAUCGACUGUUCACCAGGGCCAAGUUGGUGCACCUUGCCUGCGGGGAAGAGGAGAGAGAGGUGGUCACCGAGAUCCCGAGGGAAUCAAUUGCACCAGAAGCCUCCUGCUGUCUGGCUCAAAGGGGUCGGGGUCAGGAUCCGCCGGGUGGGCCUUGGUGAAGGUCCUUGGGAGUCCAAUCAAAUCCCAAUCAAAAUGGAGUCACUCACGUCAAGCCCUACCAAAAAAUACAACAAAAUAAACAGAGCCAGAAGGCUGUGAGUGACGGCUGUUGCGUGCAUACACCUGACAAUUAUUAUAGAAGAUUGUGCCGGCCAUGGCCCUGCACAGAGUGAAAGACCUCAAAGCUCUGGAGACGCUGGCAACUUCUGUCCUUCUGUGAGGAUAGCUAGUAGCCAUUACUGAUCUGUUCCGCUCUGGGCUCACGUCAGCCUUGUUACCGAUCCUUGAACAGCCUCGCUGUCAAUCGUUGUGGCCAAGGAUCGUUGCUUCAACUUGUGUGGUCUGCCUCAUGUUCCUUUUGCCCUGUGGGUCCCCUCCUCACACACUCUUAGCUGCCUGUGGCCUGUCUGUCCCCAUGGCAACGCUCGGCUGCUCUGGAAUGCACCUGAUGUCUCCGGAGAGCUCCCUUCUUGCUAGUAUUCGGGUCCAGCUCUCUGCUGUCUGAAGUGACAUCACCCUCGGAGGACACCCAGGUGGUGGCCACGUGGAACCCUCUGUGCUGUCUCCAUGGCUCAGUGUUUUUCCGCCCUGGCUAGGAUCCUCUUUUCUCCUUUGUUGGAUACAGGCUCCCUGCUGAUUCCAUUUGGGAUCUGUUUUGCGUAGGACCCCCUGGCAUAAAAGACCCGGCAUCCCUCUUCAACCCUUCCUGAUCCGAGAGCAGGCAUCCUUCUGGUCUGAGUGUUCUGAGAGCUCGCAUUCUGUCUACGAGGACACCACAUCUCCCUGGACCUCCAGAUUCCAGAGCAUGCAAAAAGCUCCCUCUCUGGGAUUUCCAGCUGCCUACAGGAUGGCUCAUGCUCACGCACACCUUCAGAGCGCUGGAGAAAGCGUACCAAGAAGACAUUCUUAAACCACAGCCAUAGAGUUUCACAACCUGAGAGGCACACUGGCAUUGUAGAGGCUGUGACUUCUCAAUUUCUCUUCCCCUUCGCCCCCCUACUCUGCAGACUUUUCUGCUUACUCAGAGAUAUUCCCAAAAUAUCAUGGAAAAAAUGGAAUUAAAUGUGGUGCAAGAAUUUUUGAAAUCUAUGUAUUUUUUUUCAUGGUGUACAUUUUCCAUGAACUUUUACAAGAUCCUUUGCACACAUGGGUUUCAAAAUUCUUUUGCACUACAACAAGCUACCAUUUAAUUUCAUUUUCCAUGAACUGACCAUCAAAUUAAUAUCAAGUGCGGGGCCGGCGCUGUGGUGUAGCAGGUAAAGCUGUUGCCUGCAGUACCGGCAUGCCAUAUGGGUACCAGUUUGAGUCCUGGCUGCUCCACUUCUGAUCUAGCUCUCUGCUAUGCCCUGGGAAAGCAGUAGAAGAUGGCCUAAGUCCUUGGGCCCCUGCACCCACGUGGGAGACCCAAGGAAGCUCCUGGCUCCUGGUUUCAGAUUGGUGCAGCUCUGACCAUUGUGGCCAUCUGGGUAGUGAACCAGCAGAUGGAAGACUUUCUCUCUCUCUCUCUCUCUGCCUCUGCCUCUGCCUCUCUGUAACUCUGCCUUUCAAAUAAAUAAAUAAAUGUUAAAAAUAAAUAAAAUAAAAUUCUGCUGCAAUAGUCUGUAUAAAACAAACCAACAUGAAAACCAGGAAUAGACUGUGGCUGCUUGCAAAGCCCACUUGAAAACUGCUUUUAUUCUGACGUUCUAGCCCAGAAAAGAAAAGAAAAUGCAUUCAAGAUUCAUGGCUUUACGAGAGCAUCUCCAGGGCCACCAGCAACCUAGGCACUCAAAGAGCCAUCUGUUUAAGAAACAGAAAUCUCUCUGCUAUGGCCUGGGAAAGCAGCAGAACAUGGUCCAAGUGCUUGGGCCCCUGCACCCAUGUGGGAGACCUGGAAGAAGCUCCUGGCUCCUGGCUUUGGAUUGGCCCAGCUCCUGCGAUUUGAGGAGUGA